rnacentral:rRNA from 1 species
AUUGAACGCUGGCGGCAGGCUUAACACAUGCAAGUCGAGCGGAGAUGAGGUGCUUGCACCUUAUCUUAGCGGCGGACGGGUGAGUAAUGCUUAGGAAUCUGCCUAUUAGUGGGGGACAACAUUCCGAAAGGAAUGCUAAUACCGCAUACGUCCUACGGGAGAAAGCAGGGGAUCUUCGGACCUUGCGCUAAUAGAUGAGCCUAAGUCGGAUUAGCUAGUUGGGGGGGUAAAGGACUACAAAGGCGAAGAUCUGUAGCGGGUCUGAGAGGAUGAUCCGCCACACUGGGACAGAGACACGGCCCAGACUCCUACGGGAGGCAGCAGUGGGGAAUAUUGGACAAUGGGGGGAACCCUGAUCCAGCCAUGCCGCGUGUGUGAAGAAGGCCUUAUGGUUGUAAAGCACUUUAAGCGAGGAGGAGGCUACUGAGACUAAUACUCUUGGAUAGUGGACGUUACUCGCAGAAUAAGCACCGGCUAACUCUGUGCCAGCCGCCGCCGUAA